AGUAGUUCUUCAUUGAGAGAUUACCUCUUGGGGAAGGAGUUAGAGCUGGAUUAUGUUACUAUAGUGACCCAGAACAUACGAAAGAAUCUGUGCACAAACAGAAAAAAGUGAACGCUUCCCAUAACCCAGAGCAACACUGUGCUUCUUUUCUCUAAGUGCCCCAGGCACAGAGGAGAGGAAAGAGGACUAGAUUCAGAGUUGGAAGUCUGCUUUCGGGCCUCAGCUUGAUGACCACAUUGGCCUCUCUGGACUCUCAGACCCAUCUUCUCAUCUUGGCAAAACCUAAGGACUCCACCUGAAUUCUCUCUUCCUGCCGUGGCCUAGAAACUCUCCUGGAAGAAACAAAACAAUCAUAGGCUUCACCUGCUUGGUUUCCCUCUCCAGGAUCAAUGUCACGAGCUGCCUAAUGUGCAUUGUCUAAAAACUUCUCCAUCAUAUAUUUUUUUCCUAUUGUUUAGCUGUUUCAUGUGGAAGGAUAAAUCCAGACCCUGUUACUUCAUCAAAGACAAAUAUUGAUGUCAUCAUGUCUAUCUACGCAGCCUUAUCUUUUACCAAUCUCCAACUUGCAAACUUUUUCUCCAGACCUAACAAACUACUCAUGAAUCUCCACAUAUUUCGUGCCCUUUCUCUGUGCCUUUUCAUACACUGCUUCCUCCACCAACCAAGCCCUUCUCUUCACCUCUAUAAACCGUCAUCCAAGAAGAUCAACCCAGCGGCUAUGUCCUCCCAGAAACCUUUCCUGUCCUUCCAAAAAAAUCAGGGUCCCUCCUGUGUGUACUCCAUUGCCUUGUGAUUGUUACUAUCAGAUCAGUACUGACCUGCUUCCCUCAGCAGAUUGUAGCUAUCUGAGAUCAGGACCUCUGUCAUAGCCUUCCUCACUCUCCCAAUAUCUAGUUAAUAAUAGGAAUUGACAACUCGAAUGAAUUAAUGAAUGCUAACACUUAACCCAUUUCUCUGCUAACUUUGGUAUAGAUGUGCCUAUAUUUCAAUGGAGUUUCCCUGAUACUAUAGCUUUUGAUAUUUUAAUCAUGAAUUAAGAAAGAUUUUAAUGAGAA